rnacentral:rRNA from 1 species
AUACGGAGGGUGCAAGCGUUACUCGGAAUCACUGGGCGUAAAGCGCGCGCAGGCGGGCUGAUAAGUUGGAUGUGAAAGCCUACGGCUCAACCGUAGAACUGCAUCCAAAACUGUCAGUCUAGAGUGUGGGAGAGGAAGAUGGAAUUAGUUGUGUAGGGGUAAAAUCCGUAGAGAUAACUAGGAAUACCAAAAGCGAAGGCGAUCUUCUGGAACAGUACUGACGCUGAGGCGCGAAAGCGUGGGGAGCAAACAGGAUUAGAAACCCCUGUAGUCC